CAGCAAGCCGGCUCCUACGGGGUUCGUGUCGAACGAAGAUUUAUGCACGACACAAACCCUGUAGGAGCCGGCUUGCUG
rnacentral:misc_RNA from 1 species